rnacentral:lncRNA from 1 species
GACCAUCUUGACUGAAAUGUGAAGAGGUAAGGAGGUUGAACAUAAAGAUAUACCGAGGUAUGCUUGUUCCCUACUUUACUUCACUGCUAGUAGACUUGAUGUAAUAUUUAGCGCUUGUUAAAUAUGAAUCAUGUCCAAAAGGAGUCGUACUAAUGCGGUUAAAACGGAAAUGAAGUAUAUUAUUAGUAAUUCUGUAUGUGGGACUUUGCUAU